rnacentral:rRNA from 1 species
CCGAGAAUAUUCCGCAAUGGGCGAAAGCCUGACGGAGCGACGCCGCGUAAAGGAAGAAGCCCUUCGGGGUGUAAACUUUUUUCACAAAGAAGAACCUUGAUUUUCAAGGUGACGGUAUUUGUGGAAUAAGGCGCUGCUAACCUCGUGCCAGCAGCCGCGGUAAUACGAGGGCGUCAAGCAUAUCCGGAUUUAUUGGGCGUAAAGAGUACGUAGGCGCCUUAUUAAGUCUGAUGUUCAAUUUUAGAGCUUAACUCUAAAGCCGCAUUAGAAACUAAUAAGGUAGAGAAAGAGAGGGGUUAGCGGAACGCACGGUGUAGGGGUGAAAUCCGUGGAUAUCGUGCGGAACACCAAAAGCGAAGGCAGCUAACUGGCUCUUUCUGACGCUGUUACGUACGAAAGC